rnacentral:rRNA from 1 species
GAUGAACGCUGGCGGCGUGCCUAAUACAUGCAAGUCGAGCGAAUGGAUUAAGAGCUUGCUCUUAUGAAGUUAGCGGCGGACGGGUGAGUAACACGUGGGUAACCUGCCCAUAAGACUGGGAUAACUCCGGGAAACCGGGGCUAAUACCGGAUAACAUUUUGAACCGCAUGGUUCGAAAUUGAAAGGCGGCUUCGGCUGUCACUUAUGGAUGGACCCGCGUCGCAUUAGCUAGUUGGUGAGGCAACGGCUCACCAAGGCAACGAUGCGUAGCCGACCUGAGAGGGUGAUCGGCCACACUGGGACUGAGACACGGCCCAGACUCCUACGGGAGGCAGCGGUAGGGAAUCUUCCGCAAUGGACGAAAGUCUGACGGAGCAACGCCGCGUGAGUGAUGAAGGCUUUCGGGUCGUAAAACUCUGUUGUUAGGGAAGAACAAGUGCUAGUUGAAUAAGCUGGCACCUUGACGGUACCUAACCAGAAAGCCACGGCUAACUACGUGCCAGCCGCCGCCGUAA